CAUGUCUUUUUGAUUAUGAUUUAAAGUCUGGUCUGCUCGGUGAGGGAUUAAAUUGCCGCAGUAUUUUAACUGUGCGAAGGUAGCAUGAUAAAUAGUUUUUUAAUUGAGAACUUGAAUGAAUGAUUGGACAAGAAAGAAUCUGUCUCUUUUUAAUUAUUUAAUUAAUUUUAUUUUUAAGUGAAAAAGCUUAAAUUUUUAUAAAAGACGAGAAGACCCUAUAGAGUUUAAUAGUUAAUUUAAUUUGUUUUGUAGGAAUUGAUUUUAAUUUGGAUUAUUUAAUUGGGGUGAUUAUAGGAUUGGCAUAAUUCUUAAAAGUUUAAUUGAUGAUAGUUAAUUUAUUAGUCUAGAGUUUUAAGUAAAAAAUAAAUUACCUUAGGGAUAACAGCGUAAUUUUUCUUUAAAGUUCUUAUUGUAAGAAAAUUUUGCGACCUCGAUGUUGGAUUAAAAUUAAUAAUUGGUGUAGGAGCUUUAUAAUUAGGUCUGUUCGACUUU
rnacentral:rRNA from 1 species